GAUGAACGCUGGCGGCGUGCCUAAUACAUGCAAGUCGAGCGAACAGACGAGGAGCUUGCUCCUCUGACGUUAGCGGCGGACGGGUGAGUAACACGUGGAUAACCUGCCUAUAAGACUGGGAUAACUUCGGGAAACCGGAGCUAAUACCGGAUAAUAUAUUGAACCGCAUGGUUCAAUAGUGAAAGACGGUUUUGCUGUCACUUAUAGAUGGAUCCGCGCCGCAUUAGCUAGUUGGUAAGGUAACGGCUUACCAAGGCAACGAUGCGUAGCCGACCUGAGAGGGUGAUCGGCCACACUGGAACUGAGACACGGUCCAGACUCCUACGGGAGGCAGCAGUAGGGAAUCUUCCGCAAUGGGCGAAAGCCUGACGGAGCAACGCCGCGUGAGUGAUGAAGGUCUUCGGAUCGUAAAACUCUGUUAUUAGGGAAGAACAAAUGCGUAAGUAACUAUGCACGUCUUGACGGUACCUAAUCAGAAAGCCACGGCUAACUACGUG
rnacentral:rRNA from 1 species